UACGGAGGAUGCGAGCGUUAUCCGGAUUUAUUGGGUUUAAAGGGUGCGUAGGCGGGUUAUCAAGUCAGCGGUAAAAUCGUGGAGCUCAACUCCAUCCAGCCGUUGAAACUGUGUCCCUUGAGUGCGCGAAGGGUAGGCGGAAUGCGUGGUGUAGCGGUGAAAUGCAUAGAUAUCACGCAGAACUCCGAUCGCGAAGGCAGCCUACCGGCGCGCAACUGACGCUCAUGCACGAAAGCGUGGGUAUCGAACAGG
rnacentral:rRNA from 1 species